AGAGUUUGAUCCUGGCUCAGAUUGAACGCUGGCGGUAUGCUUUACACAUGCAAGUCGAACGGCAGCACAGGGAGCUUGCUCCCGGGUGGCGAGUGGCGCACGGGUGAGUAAUACAUCGGAACGUGUCCUGUUGUGGGGGAUAACUGCUCGAAAGGGUGGCUAAUACCGCAUGAGACCUGAGGGUGAAAGCGGGGGAUCGCAAGACCUCGCGCAAUUGGAGCGGCCGAUGCCCGAUUAGCUAGUUGGUGAGGUAAAGGCUCACCAAGGCGACGAUCGGUAGCUGGUCUGACGAGGACGACCAGCCACACUGGGACUGAGACCACGGCCCAGACUCCGUACGGGAGCA
rnacentral:rRNA from 1 species